rfam:Clostridiales bacterium 42_27 Ley3_66761_scaffold_5346, whole genome shotgun sequence.
UAAAAUAAUGAUGCUGUUUUUGAGACAGCAGGUGCUGGAGUCCAGCGUAAGGUGCAAACCGCCUGCCGAGAAACGCGCGUAAAGUUGUUUUAUGCCUCUUUCUCGACACAGUGCGGGAAAGAGGCUUUUUUCGUUGCUCC